rnacentral:rRNA from 1 species
UACAGAGGUCCCAAGCGUUGUUCGGAUUCACUGGGCGUAAAGGGUGCGUAGGCGGUCGGGUAAGUCUGAUGUGAAAUCUCACAGCUUAACUGUGAAACUGCAUUGGAUACUAUUCGGCUUGAGAGUUGGAGGGGGGACUGGAAUUCUUGGUGUAGCAGUGAAAUGCGUAGAUAUCAAGAGGAACACCAGUGGCGAAGGCGAGUCCCUGGACAACUUCUGACGCUGAGGCACGAAAGCUAGGGGGAGCAAAACAGG